GACAGAGGGUGCGAACGUUGUUCGGAAUUACUGGGCGUAAAGCGUGUGUAGGCGGCUACGUAAGUCGGAUGUGAAAGCCCCAGGCUCAACCUGGGAAGUGCACUCGAUACUGCGUAGCUUGAGUAUCGGAGAGGUUGGUGGAAUUCUCGGUGUAGAGGUGAAAUUCGUAGAUAUCGAGAGGAACACCGGUGGCGAAGGCGGCCAACUGGACGAAUACUGACGCUGAGACACGAAAGCGUGGGGAGCAAACAGG
rnacentral:rRNA from 1 species